CUUUCUUUGCUGGCGACCGGCGCACGGGUGAGUAACACGUAUCCAACCUGCCCUUUACUCGGGGAUAGCCUUUCGAAAGAAAGAUUAAUACCCGAUAGCAUAAUGAUUCCGCAUGGUUUCAUUAUUAAAGGAUUCCGGUAAAGGAUGGGGAUGCGUUCCAUUAGGUUGUUGGUGAGGUAACGGCUCACCAAGCCUUCGAUGGAUAGGGGUCUGAGAGGAAGGUCCCCCACAUUGGAACUGAGACACGGUCCAA
rnacentral:rRNA from 1 species